rnacentral:lncRNA from 1 species
UUGCAUAAGGUGGUCCAGGCCGAGGACAUUGCUGAGAAGACGGGGCUUGGAUUUCCUCACACAUCUCAUUGCCUUGCAUCUGGAGACAUAAUGAUUUCUUGCCUGGGAGACAAGGAGGGGAAUGCUGCUGGGAAUGGCUUCCUCCUGUUGGAUUCAGAAUUUAAUGUCAAAGGGCGGUAGGUUCUUUUCACAAUAUAGGCAAAUUAAUGUGGAAAAAUAACAUGUAACUAGAGCUAAACUACAGAUAAUAACCUUAUUAUAUUGAACCAGAUCAUGCUGAUAUACAAUUUACCAUGUCAGCAGUAAUAUAUGAUCACACACGGUCCAUAUGUAUGUCAUAUUGUUACUUGACAUGUGAAAAGCAGACAGAUUCAUUAUGCUAAUCUCAUGUAAGUCAAAUUGCUACUUGUAGCUGGGAAAAGCCAGGUCACAGCCCCUUGUUUGGCUAUGACUUCUGGUACCAGCCUCGCCACAAGACGAUGAUCAGUUCAACAUGGGGAGCCCCUGCAGCCUUCAGGACAGGUUUCGAUCUUCAACAUGUCCAGGAUGGUCUCUAUGGAAGGCAUCUGCAUGUGUAUGACUGGCCUGGUGGUGAGCUCAAACAGACGCUUGAUCUAGGUGACACGGGACUUCUCCCCCUUGAGGUAAUAUAAUGUUUAAACUGCAGUAACUACCACCAGAGUGGUUUUGUAUCAGUCUAUGUUUAUUACUUUCGAACUGCCUUUGUUUUUCAUUAAAUGCUACCAGAAUAGUCGGUGCUUGUAGUAUUCUUUCAGGGGCUGUUGUAACGAACUCAGUUGCUACCUGCAGCUGGAGGUUGACAGGCCUCAGUUUUGUGAUGGAUGAUUAAAACUCUCCUUGUCAGUUUCAGAAAAUAUGGGACUGGGACAACUAAGCCACAGUUCUCUGUUUGUUUUUUUCUGCAGGUGAGGUUUUUACAUGACCCAUCAAAGGACACUGGCUAUGUUGGCUGUGCUUUGACAAGCAACAUGGUCAGAUUCUUCAAAACUGCGGAUGGAUCAUGGAGCCACGAGGUCUGCCAUGCGACAUGCUAAAGUUCUCACACCUAAUAAACUUGAUUUUCCAACUUUGCUUACGCUUCCUAAGAUUGUGUUUGUAGGUUGCUAUCGAUGUAAAACCACUGAAAGUCCGCAACUGGAUUCUGCCAGAAAUGCCAGGAUUGAUAACUGAUUUUGUUAUCUCUCUUGAUGACCGCUAUCUCUAUUUGGUCAAUUGGCUUCAUGGGGAUAUCAGGCAGUACAACAUUGAGGACCCUGCAAAGCCUGUCUUGGCUGGACAAGUAUGGGUUGGUGGUCUUCUUCAAAAGGGCAGCGAUGUUGUCUAUCUUACUGAUGAUGGCCAAGAAGAACAGUACAAUGUGCCCCAGGUCAAGGUAAUUUCUCCUCUCAGAACCUUCUUAAUUGAGAAAGUAAUUUAUAUUAAUGAUUUAGAGUUUGUUGGUAGUUGCACAUGGUGCGCUGAGCUAUCAGAGUGUCAAGUACCAAAAAAUGUGCGUCAUCUAUCUUGCCACACUGAUCUGCAUUGCCAUGUUCAACAAACAUUACAUCUCCAUUGAAAUCUAGCACACUCGAAAUAGUCACUACGUUUUGUCUACAUAUUCAGAGGCGAGAACACUAUAGGACAAGAUUGUUGAGAAUAUGUUGGAAUUAGAUAAUCUAAUUCAGUGUGUUUCUUUAUAAUCAGGAGCAUCGACUUAGAGGCGGACCACAGAUGAUUCAGCUGAGCUUGGAUGGCAAGAGGAUUUACGUAACCAAUUCACUUUUCAGCCGAUGGGAUGAACAGUUCUAUGGUGAUGAUCUUGUCAAGAAGGGCUCCCACAUGCUGCAGAUCGAUGUCGACACUGAGAAAGGAGGGCUGGCUAUCAACCCCAACUUCUUUGUAGAUUUUAGCAAAGAGCCUGAUGGUCCUGCCUUGGCCCAUGAGAUGAGAUAUCCUGGUGGGGACUGCACCUCUGAUAUAUGGAUCUAAGGUCAAGGAUUGGCAUAAUAGUCUGCUGGAGGUCGUUGUUGUAUGCACUGUAUUUGAUAUGGUAUCCAUGCAGUGUUUCAUCUUGUAUUGUGACUACUCCAAUGGACUAACUAAUAAGCCAUGGUUUCAUGAGAACUUGAGCUUAAUAAAAGAUCUUUCAAUUCUGAAUUCCUGAUUCUGUCGCCCGCGAUAAAGCCUGAUAUUGUUACCUUUGUGAUUUCUGUAAAUCGCUCUCCUUCUCUUCGGGGUGGAUGGCAGCCCCCGCUACCCCUUGUUAUUACUCUGUAGGGUUUGGCAGUGUUCCCCGGUCUCAUACUCUCAUAAAGAUUUCCUAAUCAUUUGGUUAGAAUUUGGCUUACAAAGAAUAUCCGUUGAUCUACUGCGCUGAAAAUGGAAUGACAUCCUUCUGUCAGGGUACGAAGGAACUCUUCAACAGGGUGAUGGCCUGGGCCUAAAUCCAACAGGUCAAGUAGGACGAAUGCAACAGAGAGUUAAAUCAAGUUGGCAUUGUGCAAGUGAACAACUCCAUUGGCAAAUGGCAAUCUAAUGCAAUGCAUCUAUCUUAUAAUCUGCAGCAAUUUGUAAGGCUUUUGAGUGGGUGCGUCCGGGAACUUACAGCGACGCUAAUGGCAGGGCGACGGAGGCAGCGGCCCAUGUCACGGUGUCGGUGCUGCAUUGCACGCCGGAGUGCUCGUUGUUGCGGGCGCGAUACGUGUGAUCGGAGAACCGCCCGAUCAGGCACUCGUCGCCGCCGCACGGCGGAGACGACGCGGCGGUGCUCCCCGCGGUAGAAACUACACCGGCGGAGGGGAGUGGGGAAUCAUAUGGGGAGGGCAUGGAGUGGUCGAGCCUUGCGCUUGCAGUGGACAGAGGGCGGUGGGCCGGCGGCGGAUCGCCGAGAGGGGAGAUUCUCCCCGGGAGAAGAAGCGG